AUUCCAUGAUGGGCACAUUCUAGGAUGUAGUCUUGAAAGCGCUCCCAUGCUUCUGGAACAGAUUCAUCAUUUUGUUGCUGAAAACUUGUAAUCUUCCCACGGAGAGC
rnacentral:snoRNA from 1 species